GACCGUUUGAGUCAAAAUAUAGCCGUUGAAAUAAUUUUUGGAUAAAAUAGGACAUGCUAUAGAACUAGUUGUUAUGCCUAUCAGAAGCACUCAAGUCGGCUUGAAAUGAUCUCAAGUCGGCUUGGUUUAUCUUCAAGUUAGCUCCACUAUCUUUCGAGUUGGCUCAAUGUACUUCAAAUCUGAAAAAUUUGGCUUUCUGUUCUUCUAAGAAAAUUGGCUCGGAUUGUUUUUGAGUUGGCUCAAAUCCACAAAUCCAAAAUACAUCUUUCUGUCUAUCUAAGAGAACCAGCUCGGAUCUUCUCAGAGCUAGCU
rnacentral:lncRNA from 1 species